CAACAGGGAUUGCCUCAGUAACGGCGAGUGAAGCGGCAACAGCUCAAAUUUUAAAGCUGGCGCCUUCGGCGCACGCGUUGUAAUUUGGAGAGGCAUCUUCGGUUCGGGCGCCAGCCUAUGUUCCUUGGAACAGGACGUCACAGAGGGUGAGAAUCCCGUGCCUGGCUGGCUGUCCCGACCCAUGUGAAGCGCCUUCGACGAGUCGAGUUGUUUGGGAAUGCAGCUCAAAAUGGGUGGUAAAUUUCAUCUAAAGCUAAAUAUUGGCGGGAGACCGAUAGCGCACAAGUAGAGUGAUCGAAAGAUGAAAAGCACUUUGAAAAUAGAGUUAAAAAGUACGUGAAAUUGUUGAAAGGGAAGCGCUUGAGACCAGACUCGGCUGGGGAUGAUCAGCGGCCCUUCUGGGCCGUGCACUUGUCCCCGGUCGGGCCAACAUCGGUUGAGGCGGUGGGAUAAAGGCCCGGGGAAUGUGGCUCCUCUCGGGGAGUGUUAUAACCCCGGACGCAAUUCCACCAACCUUGACCGAGGGCCGCGCACUUUGUGCUAGGAUGCUGGCGUAAU
rnacentral:rRNA from 1 species